GACGAACGCUGGCGGCGUGCCUAAUACAUGCAAGUCGAACGCAGUUGCGAACGGGUGAGUAACGCGUAGGUAACCUGCCUCAUAGCGGGGGAUAACUAUUGGCAACGAUAGCUAAUACCUCAUACUGUGCGAUGGACCUGCGUUGUAUUAGCUAGUUGGUGAGGUAAAGGCUCACCAAGGCGACGAGACAUAGCCGCCCUGAGAGGGUGAGCGGCCACACUGGGAGGGGGACAGGGCACAGACGCCUACGGGAGGCAGCAGUAGGGAAACUUGGGGAAGGGACGGAAGACUGACCGAGCAACGCCGAGUGAUGGAAGAAGGUUGUCGGGUGGUAAAGCUCUGUUGUUAGAGAAGCGGUAGUUAACCAGAAAGGAACGGCUAACUACGUGCCAGCAGCCGCGGUAAUUC
rnacentral:rRNA from 1 species